rnacentral:rRNA from 1 species
UACGAAGGGGGGCUAGCGUUGUUCGGAAUUACUGGGCGUAAAGCGCACGUAGGCGGAUCGAUCAGUCAGGGGUGAAAUCCCAGGGCUCAACCCUGGAACUGCCUUUGAUACUGUCGAUCUGGAGUAUGGAAGAGGUGAGUGGAAUUCCGAGUGUAGAGGUGAAAUUCGUAGAUAUUCGGAGAACACCAGUGGCGAAGGCGGCUCACUGGUCCAUUACUGACGCUGAGGUGCGAAAAGCGUGGGGAGCAAACAGG